GGGUUGUGAGGUUAAGCGACUAAGCGUACACGGUGGAUGCCCUGGCAGUCAGAGGCGAUGAAGGACGUGCUAAUCUGCGAUAAGCGUCGGUAAGGUGAUAUGAACCGUUAUAACCGGCGAUUUCCGAAUGGGGAAACCCAGUGUGAUUCGUCACACUAUCAUUAACUGAAUCCAUAGGUUAAUGAGGCGAACCGGGGGAACUGAAACAUCUAAGUACCCCGAGGAAAAGAAAUCAACCGAGAUUCCCCCAGUAGCGGCGAGCGAACGGGGAGCAGCCCAGAGCCUGAAUCAGUGUGUGUGUUAGUGGAAGCGUCUGGAAAGGCGUGCGAUACAGGGUGACAGCCCCGUACACAAAAAUGCACAUACUGUGAGCUCGAUGAGUAGGGCGGGACACGUGGUAUCCUGUCUGAAUAUGGGGGGACCAUCCUCCAAGGCUAAAUACUCCUGACUGACCGAUAGUGAACCAGUACCGUGAGGGAAAGGCGAAAAGAACCCCGGCGAGGGGAGUGAAAAAGAACCUGAAACCGUGUACGUACAAGCAGUGGGAGCACGCUUAGGCGUGUGACUGCGUACCUUUUGUAUAAUGGGUCAGCGACUUAUAUUCUGUAGCAAGGUUAACCGAAUAGGGGAGCCGAAGGGAAACCGAGUCUUAACUGGGCGUUAAGUUGCAGGGUAUAGACCCGAAACCCGGUGAUCUAGCCAUGGGCAGGUUGAAGGUUGGGUAACACUAACUGGAGGACCGAACCGACUAAUGUUGAAAAAUUAGCGGAUGACUUGUGGCUGGGGGUGAAAGGCCAAUCAAACCGGGAGAUAGCUGGUUCUCCCCGAAAGCUAUUUAGGUAGCGCCUCGUGAAUUCAUCUCCGGGGGUAGAGCACUGUUUCGGCAAGGGGGUCAUCCCGACUUACCAACCCGAUGCAAACUGCGAAUACCGGAGAAUGUUAUUACGGGAGACACACGGCGGGUGCUAACGUCCGUCGUGAAGAGGGAAACAACCCAGACCGCCAGCUAAGGUCCCAAAGUCAUGGUUAAGUGGGAAACGAUGUGGGAAGGCCCAGACAGCCAGGAUGUUGGCUUAGAAGCAGCCAUCAUUUAAAGAAAGCGUAAUAGCUCACUGGUCGAGUCGGCCUGCGCGGAAGAUGUAACGGGGCUAAACCAUGCACCGAAGCUGCGGCAGCGACGCUUAUGCGUUGUUGGGUAGGGGAGCGUUCUGUAAGCCUGUGAAGGUGUGCUGUGAGGUAUGCUGGAGGUAUCAGAAGUGCGAAUGCUGACAUAAGUAACGAUAAAGCGGGUGAAAAGCCCGCUCGCCGGAAGACCAAGGGUUCCUGUCCAACGUUAAUCGGGGCAGGGUGAGUCGACCCCUAAGGCGAGGCCGAAAGGCGUAGUCGAUGGGAAACAGGUUAAUAUUCCUGUACUUGGUGUUACUGCGAAGGGG
rnacentral:rRNA from 1 species